GGGAUUGCCUCAGUAACGGCGAGUGAAGCGGCAAUAGCUCAAAUUUGAAAUCUGGCCCCGUGGCCCGAGUUGUAAUUUGUAGAGAGUGUUUCGGGUGAGACCACGGUUUAAGUCCAUUGGAACAUGGCGUCAUAGAGGGUGAGAAUCCCGUAUGUGACUGUGGCUCGAACCCAUGUGAAGCCUCUUCGACGAGUCGAGUUGUUUGGGAAUGCAGCUCAAAAUGGGUGGUAAAUUUCAUCUAAAGCUAAAUACUGGCUGGAGACCGAUAGCGCACAAGUAGAGUGAUCGAAAGAUGAAAAGCACUUUGGAAAGAGAGUCAAACAGUACGUGAAAUUGUUGAAAGGGAAGCGCUUGCAACCAGACCUGUGCGUAGGUGAUCAGCCGCUGUUCUCAGUGGUGCACUCGCUCUGCGAUCAGGCCAGCAUCGGUUUCGGCGGUCGGAUAAAGGCCUUGGGAAUGUAGCUUCCCUUCGGGGGAGUCUUAUAGCCCUCGGUGCAAUGCGGCCAGCCGGGACCGAGGACCGCGCUUCGGCUAGGAUGCUGGCGUAAUGGUUGUAA
rnacentral:rRNA from 1 species